UCGUAGUUGAAUUGUGGAGUAUGGCCACGGGAUUCAGUCCUUUUCCCACGGUCUAGGAACGUCCCGACCAUACUCCGAGAACGUCAGAAACUAAGAUCACGGAAGCGUUUUUUACAAACUGCCACCGACUACGCGAGCAAUGUUCGCUGGUGGACGUCCGUGUUUUUUGCUGUGACUAAAGAAGUGCGACCAAGGCAGUCCAUCGACAUGAAUUAGAAAGCAUGGGAUAACGAAGCAGCAGCCUAUGAGCUACCGUUUAGGCCUUUGUUGGUUUUAAAGGUUCGUGGGAGAUUACGGGCGUGUAGGACCGGCGUUGGGGGUUUUCCAAAAUCCCCGCGUCUCCUCCUGGCAUCGGAAACGGUGCUUGCGGGGCCUGCUUCGCUCAGGAAUGAAGGAGGGUUGCUCGGGGGAAAACGUACUUGGGCGUGAGAGGUGAAAUUCUUAGACCGCCCAAAGACGAACUACAGCGAAGGCAUUUUCCAAGGAUACCUUCCUCAAUCAAGAACCAAAGUGUGG
rnacentral:rRNA from 1 species